rnacentral:rRNA from 1 species
CCGUAGCCUGGUAGCGGGGGGUAACUAUUGGAAACGAUAGCUAAUACCGCAUAAGAGUAGAUGUUGCAUGACAUUUGCUUAAAGGUGCAAUUGCAUCACUACCAGAUGGACCUGCGUUGUAUUAGCUAGUUGGUGGGGUAACGGCUCACCAAGGCGACGAUACAUAGCCGACCUGAGAGGGUGAUCGGCCACACUGGGACUGAGACACGGCCCAG